GAAGGGACCUAGCGUAGUUCGGAAUUACUGGGCUUAAAGAGCACGUAGGUGGUUAAAAAAGUUGGUGGUGAAAUCCCAGAGCUUAACUCUGGAACUGCUUCAAAACUUUUUAACUAGAGUGUGAUAGAGGAAAGUAGAAUUUCUAGUGUAGAGGUGAAAUUCGUAGAUAUUAGAAAGAAUACCAAUUGCGAAGGCAGCUUUCUGGAUCAUUACUGACACUGAGGUGCGAAAGCAUGGGUAGCGAAGAGGAUUAGAUACCCUCGUAGUCCAUGCCGUAAACGAUGUGUGCUAGACGUUGGAAAUUUAUUUUCAGUGUCGCAGCGAAAGCAUUAAGCACACCGCCUGGGGAGUACGACCGCAAGGUUAAAACUCAAAUGAAUUGACGGGGACCCGCACAAGCAGUGGAGCAUGUGGUUUAAUUCGAAGAUACGCGCAGAACCUUACCAACACUUGACAUGUUCGUCGCGACUUUAAGAGAUUAAAGUCUUCGGUUCGGCCGGACGAAACACAGGUGCUGCAUGGCUGUCGUCAGCUCGUGUCGUGAGAUGUUGGGUUAAGUCCCGCAACGAGCGCAACCCUUACUUUUAGUUGCCACCAUUUAGUUGAGCACUCUGAAAGAACUGCCAGUGAUAAGCUGGAGGAAGGUGGGGAUGACGUCAAGUCCUCAUGGCCCUUACGUGUUGGGCUACACACGUGCUACAAUGGCACUCACAAUAGGAAGCAAAGAGGCGACUCUAAGCAAAUCUUAAAAAAGUGCCUCAGUUCGGAUUGUACUCUGCAACUCGAGUACAUGAAGCUGGAAUUGCUAGUAAUCGCGGAUCAGCGCGCCGCGGUGAAUACGUUCCCGGGUCUU
rnacentral:rRNA from 1 species